rnacentral:rRNA from 1 species
GACCCGUCUUGAAACACGGACCAAGGAGUCUAACAUGUGCGCGAGUCAUUGGGACUGCGAAGCCUAAAGGCGCAAUGAAAGUGAAGGUCGCGCCAACCAAGGUCGACCGAGGGAGGAUGGGUCGCGUUUGCGCGCGGCUCCGCACUCCCGGGGCGUCUCGUUCUCAUUGCGAGAAGAGGCGCACCCAGAGCGUACACGUUGGGACCCGAAAGAUGGUGAACUAUGCCUGGUCAGGACGAAGUCAGGGGAAACCCUGAUGGAGGUCCGUAGCGAUUCUGACGUGCAAAUCGAUCGUCGGAACUGGGUAUAGGGGCGA